rnacentral:rRNA from 1 species
AGAGUUUGAUCCUGGCUCAGGAUGAACGCUGGCUACAGGCUUAACACAUGCAAGUCGAGGGGCAGCGGGCAGAAAGCUUGCUUUCUGUGCCGGCGACCGGCGCACGGGUGCGUAACGCGUAUCGAACCUACCACAUACUCAGGGAUAGCCUUGCGAAAGUAAGAUUAAUACCUGAUGUUGUUUAGCGUCCGCAUGGACACUAAACCAAAGAUUUAUUGGUAUGUGAUGGCGAUGCGUCUGAUUAGGUAGUAGGCGGGGUAACGGCCCACCUAGCCAUCGAUCAGUAGGGGUUCUGAGAGGAAGGUCCCCCACAUUGGAACUGAGACACGGUCCAAACUCCUACGGGAGGCAGCAGUGAGGAAUAUUGGUCAAUGGGCGGAAGCCUGAACCAGCCAAGUAGCGUGCAGGACGACGGCCCUACGGGUUGUAAACUGCUUUUAUGCGGGGAUAAAGUGAGGGACGCGUCCCUUUUUGCAGGUACCGCAUGAAUAAGGACCGGCUAAUUCCGUGCCAGCAGCCGCGGUAAUACGGAAGGUCCGGGCGUUAUCCGGAUUUAUUGGGUUUAAAGGGAGCGUAGGCCGGGGAUUAAGUGUGUUGUGAAAUGUAGGCGCUCAACGUCUGAUGUGCAGCGCAUACUGGUUCCCUUGAGUACGCGCAACGCCGGCGGAAUUCGUCGUGUAGCGGUGAAAUGCUUAGAUAUGACGAAGAACCCCGAUUGCGAAGGCAGCCGGCGGGAGCGCAACUGACGCUGAAGCUCGAAGGUGCGGGUAUCGAACAGGAUUAGAUACCCUGGUAGUCCGCACGGUAA